rnacentral:rRNA from 1 species
CUUGAAUGUCAAAACGACUCUCGGCAACGGAUAUCUCGGCUCUCGCAUCGAUGAAGAACGUAGCGAAAUGCGAUACUUGGUGUGAAUUGCAGAAUCCCGUGAACCAUCGAGUCUUUGAACGCAAGUUGCGCCCAAAGCCUUCGGGCCGAGGGCACGCCUGCCUGGGCGUCACGCAUCGC